AUUGAACGCUGGCGGCAGGCCUAACACAUGCAAGUCGAGCGGUAACAGGAAAUAGCUUGCUAUUUGCUGACGAGCGGCGGACGGGUGAGUAACGCGUAGGAAUUUGCCCAGUAGUGGGGGAUAGCCCGGAGAAAUUCGGAUUAAUACCGCAUACGCCCUAAGGGGGAAAGCAGGGGAUCUUCGGACCUUGCGCUAUUGGAUAAGCCUGCGUGAGAUUAGCUAGUUGGUGAGGUAAGGGCUCACCAAGGCGACGAUCUCUAGCUGGUCUGAGAGGAUGAUCAGCCACACUGGAACUGAGACACGGUCCAGACUCCUACGGGAGGCAGCAGUGGGGAAUAUUGCACAAUGGGCGAAAGCCUGAUGCAGCCAUGCCGCGUGUGUGAAGAAGGCUCUAGGGUUGUAAAGCACUUUCAGUAGGGAGGAAAAGUCGAUAGUUAAUACCUAUCGGCCGUGACGUUACCUGCAGAAGAAGCACCGGCUAACUCCGUG
rnacentral:rRNA from 1 species